GAUGAACGCUGGCGGCGUGCCUAAUACAUGCAAGUCGAGCGAACGGACGAGAAGCUUGCCUCUCUGAUGUUAGCGGCGGACGGGUGAGUAACACGUGGAUAACCUACCUAUAAGACUGGGAUAACUUCGGGAAACCGGAGCUAAUACCGGAUAAUAUUUUGCACCGCAUGGUUCAAAAGUGAAAGACGGUCUUGCUGUCACUUAUAGAUGGAUUCGCGCUGCAUUAGCUAGUUGGUAAGGUAACGGCUUACCAAGGCAACGAUGCAUAGCCGACCUGAGAGGGUGAUCGGCCACACUGGAACUGAGACACGGUCCAGACUCCUACGGGAGGCAGCAGUAGGGAAUCUUCCGCAAUGGGCGAAAGCCUGACGGAGCAACGCCGCGUGAGUGAUGAAGGUCUUCGGAUCGUAAAACUCUGUUAUUAGGGAAGAACAUAUGUGUAAGUAACUGUGCACAUCUUGACGGUACCUAAUCAGAAAGCCACGGCUAACUACGUG
rnacentral:rRNA from 1 species